CUAGACUUAAACUUGCAGUAUAGCAGAGGGUGACCUUACAUUCCUGACUCUCUUGCCCUCAUGUCCACGACGUGCUGGGUGAUCUGACCUGGUGCCGUUGUUAACAAUCACAAACGGUUCUCUGUCAACAGUCUUCCUAGUUUUAAAACACGACAGUAAGAAUUCUUUCAGAGCUGAGCCUUUAGGCAUUGGUACUCCUUGGGCUGAGUGACCCCCACCCUGAAACACUGGACCAGAGAUCAUGAGCAUGAAAAAUGCCUAAGUGUGGUUCCCGAAUCACUGCUGCCUGUGGAGUGUCUGCUACCCAAGUCUCUGCCAUCCUUAUCCCUGCCCUUUCUGUGGCUUUGGAGAAAGUGCAUUUCCUUCCAUGUCUGCGGUGUGAUCUAUACUCAACUUCCAACUAAACAAAGAUACUGUCACAUCUGACCUCCGGAGCUCUUUCAGUUCCUCUUUUCCAGAUUCUAAUUAACUUAAAGGAGUGGAGACUAAAGAAAAAAUUCAAUGUGGUCUUAAGGAAAGCUAAGACACAAACUUGUAUUUGAGCACUGCUUCUAUGUACACAGACCAUGAUUUUGUGAGUUACUUGAAUUUUUUGAGGUUCCUUUUAAUCCUCUACUAUUGAAUGAAUAGUGAACUCCAAGCAUUACACUGUACCUGAUGCUCCUGGUUGCACACUAAGGGCUGAAUAGAAGAAGAAUUCUAUUGGCAAUGGAGAGAAGCUGGAAGGGCUUGCACUAAGGAAGAAUUCACAGCUCUCACUAGCAAGAAGUCCAGGAUGAAAAACUUAGAAAUUAUCCCUGUUCUACCUAAAAAGCAGACAUGAGAAUGCUCAAAGCAUCAGCACUAUAGCAGAACUCACCAUAGGAGUUUCUGCUGCCGGAAACAUAUCUAUGUUAUCUGACCUAGACAGACUGAUCUUGUCGUGAGAGAGUGAGGAGAACUAGCAGAUGAAAUGACCAAAGUAUCCCACUCAUCCCCAGAGAACUGUGACUUCAGGAAAUGACUGGAAACCAAAGUUGGCCUUUUAAAAAGAUGAGGACUUCUACAGAAAAGUGUCCCAGAUGCUUGGACACGGUGGCACACUCUUCUAUUGCUAGUGCUCUGGAGGAGUACCACAGCAGUUCCUAGCACUUAGUAGGUACUGAAUCAAGGAACCCUGUCUCUAAACAAACAAAUAAGCAAAGGAAAAG
ensembl:lncRNA